rfam:Salmo salar isolate Sally breed double haploid chromosome ssa06, whole genome shotgun sequence.
AUACUUACCUGGCAAGGGAGAUACCGUGAUCAAGAAGGCGGUUCACCCAGGGCGAGGCUCAGCCAUUGCACUCCGGCUGUGCUGACCCCUGCGAAUUUCCCAAAUGUGGAAAUCUCGGUUGCAUAAUUUAUGGUAUUGGGGGACUGCGUUCGCGCUCUCCCCUG